UGCCUUUGCUGGACAACGUUUGUCAACUGU
rnacentral:piRNA from 1 species